rnacentral:ncRNA from 1 species
AAAUAUACUAUUAAAUAAAUUUUUAUAGUUUAAAAAAUUUAUUAUAAAUUUAUUUUACAUAUAAAUUUUUGUAUUUAUUUUAAUAAUUUUAAUAAUUAUUAAUUAAUAAUUUAUGUAGUAAUUAAUAUUAAAAAUUUAAGAAAUUAAGAUUUAGUAAUAUUUAAAUUAAUAACUAAUUUUGUGCCAGCAGUUGCGGUUAAACAAAAGUUAAAUUAAAUUUUAUUAGUAAUUAAUUAUUAAAUAAAUUAUUUAGUUAAAUAUUAAAUUAUUAAGUGAAAUUUUAAUUUAUUUAAAAUUAAUUUGAUUUUUAUGAUUUAAUAAAUUUUAUUUAUAAACUAGGAUUAGAUACCCUAUUAUUAAAAAUUUAACUUAAUAUUACUAAAAUAGUAUGUAAUUAUUUAUUGAAACUUAAAUAAUUUGGCGGUAUUUUAGUUCAUUUAGAGGAAUCUGUUUAAUAAUUGAUAAUCCACGAAUAAAUUUACUUAAUUUAUUAUUUUGUAUAUCGUUGUUAUAAAAAUAUUUUUAAUAGAUAAUAAUAUUUUAAAAUUUAAAUUAUAAAUUAAAUCAGAUCAAGAUGCAGAUUAUAAUUAAGAAUAUAAUGGAUUACAAUAAAUUUAUUUAUAGCUGAUAUUAAUUUGUAAAUUUAAUUGAAGAUGGAUUUAAAUGUAAUUUUAUUUAAUUUAUUAAAAUGAUUAAAAAUUAAAAUAUGUACAUAUUGCCCGUCGCUUUCAUUAAUAAGUUGAAAUAAGUCGUAACAAAGUAGAGGUACUGGAAAGUGUUUCUAGAAAUAU